UUCCAGUGUGUGCUGUGUUAUGCUGUGCUGCCCCAGCUCCAAAGCUAUAGGGCCAUUUGGAUAUAGACCAGAGCCUGAAGAGCUGAUGUAAAGAGCAGAAUCAUGGUUACCAGAGACAGGGGAGGAUGGAGAGAAGUGGGGGAUGCAGAGAGGUUGGCCAAUGGGCACCAAGUAAAGCGAGAGACUCCAUCUUGCUUUCUGAAGAAGGACAACAGAGAAGACAAGGACGAGAAGAAGGACAACAUACAAGAAACAUCAUCACAACCCAGUGCACAUGUACUGUACACAACACAGCCUUGGACUCGGUGUAGGGGUCAAUAGGACGGCGUGUGCAGAGUACUCAGCACUGAGGAGCUGUGUAGUGAAGGGUUACUGUGACAGUGUGCGCAGAGUACUCAGUACUGGGAAAUAUGCACAGUGAAGGGUUAUUAAAUUUAAUUAAAUCCCCAGGGUCACCAGUGGGUAGAUCUGGGGAGGAAUUUAUGUGGUGUCACGUGUAUUUCCUAGUUUAAUUCCCUGUAAUAA